GGCGAAAAGCCACUCCUAAUGCAGCCACCGUAAGGUGAUGGUCACAAGCCCAUGAAAUGCAGAGUGGGAG
rnacentral:ribozyme from 1 species